rnacentral:rRNA from 1 species
AUUAAACGCUGGCGGCAGGCCUAACACAUGCAAGUCGGACGGUAGCACAGAGAGCUUGCUCUUGGGUGACGAGUGGCGGACGGGUGAGUAAUGUCUGGGGAUCUGCCCGAUAGAGGGGGAUAACCACUGGAAACGGUGGCUAAUACCGCAUAACGUCGCAAGACCAAAGAGGGGGACCUUCGGGCCUCUCACUAUCGGAUGAACCCAGAUGGGAUUAGCUAGUAGGCGGGGUAAUGGCCCACCUAGGCGACGAUCCCUAGCUGGUCUGAGAGGAUGACCAGCCACACUGGAACUGAGACACGGUCCAGACUCCUACGGGAGGCAGCAGUGGGGAAUAUUGCACAAUGGGCGCAAGCCUGAUGCAGCCAUGCCGCGUGUAUGAAGAAGGCCUUCGGGUUGUAAAGUACUUUCAGCGGGGAGGAAGGCGGUGAGGUUAAUAACCUUGCCGAUUGACGUUACCCGCAGAAGAAGCACCGGCUAACUCCGUGCCAGCAGCCGCGGUAACAC